UCCCGAUUGGUCCAGAGGUUUAGGAUCUCACGCUCUCAAAAUCACUACCCAUUUGAGUACCGUGAUGGCCCGGGUUCGAAUCCCGGAUCGGGAA